GGUUGCCUGGGGCAACCCUGGGAAGGUGAGGCCCUGGAUUUCCUGGUCUGGCCUCUGAGAACCUCCUAGCACCCCAGAACUCCCAGACAGAAUGUUAGGUAAUGCCAAUGAGCACAGAUCAAUCAUCUGCACAAUCUGAAGACGGAGCACUUUCCAUGGAGUGCUGAUGAAGUGCCAGGGUCCUAGGCUCCUCCUGGUGUGCCAGCCCUCGGACAAGUCUCUCAGCCUCAAGGUCCAGGAUGGCAACAUCUGUCCAAACAGCAAGAUGGAGAACAGGACAGGAUAGGAACGAAGUAGGAGAGGGGCCAAGGACUCAUGCUGGCAUCCCGCCAGCCUUUUGACACGAGUCACCCUUCCGCCACUUUAUAAAAGAAAGGUAGGCCUCUUAUCAGUGGUAGGCAAUAGCAGGGUAGUGAAAACCGUUUCCCCACCACUGCCAAGGCAGGGAAUAGAGGCUGCAUUGUCCUUAGAGAAUUGUAAACGAGUAACCAACCAAAAGUUCUUUGUUAUCCCCUGGGCCAGCAAUCCUAAACAAUGUCAGUGAUAAAACAUUCCUCCCUGAAAAAGUAUUUUAUUGGUCUAAGUUCUAAAUCUAAAUAAAUGCUGUCAUUACCA